CUUGAGGGCUCUUCACAGCUGCUUUGUCAGUGGGCCUCAGUACACUGGAGAUAAAGCUGACCAACCACAGAUCAUUCCAAAGACCUUCAUCGCUAAGGGAACCAUUGUGGGCAACGGACACGAAAACUGGGCUCUCCUGAGGCUGCUUCCAUUGAUGGACCAUGGGAAGCUAUAAACUAAGAAUCAUCAUAAAUGAAGGGGACAUACGGAAAGUGUCACUGGACAGAAAACCAGAAACGGUUGAAGAGCUGAAGAUAAAAGUCAAAGAAAAAUGCAACCUGCAGGAUGACUUCAAUCUUAUGUAUGAAGACCCUGACUUUGGUUAUUCCCUCUGCAACCUAGAUGACAUAGGAGACUUGCCAGCUACAAAAGCAACUGUGAAGGUCAUUUCAUUGGUGACACUGACACUGGUGCCUGCUUCCACCACCAGCAUUUCUGAUGCCUCAAAUGUCUCAGAUGAUACAGAGAUUCUGUCGACAUACAGCUCAUCAUCAUCAACAAGACAAGAGCAAUGGCCAG